rnacentral:rRNA from 1 species
AACGAACGCUGGCGGCAUGCCUAACACAUGCAAGUCGAACGAGGCCUUCGGGUCUAGUGGCGCACGGGUGCGUAACGCGUGGGAACCUGCCCUUAGGUUCGGAAUAACUCCCCGAAAGGGGUGCUAAUACCGGAUAAUGUCUUCGGACCAAAGAUUUAUCGCCUUUGGAUGGGCCCGCGUUGGAUUAGCUAGUUGGUAGGGUAAAAGCCUACCAAGGCGACGAUCCAUAGCUGGUCUGAGAGGAUGAUCAGCCACACUGGGACUGAGACACGGCCCAGACUCCUACGGGAGGCAGCAGUGGGGAAUAUUGGACAAUGGGCGAAAGCCUGAUCCAGCAAUGCCGCGUGAGUGAUGAAGGCCUUAGGGUUAUAAAGCUCUUUUACCCGGGAUGAUAAUGUCAGUACCGGGAGAAUAAGCUCCGGCUAACUCCGUG